GAGUUUGAUCCGGGCUCAGAAUGAACGCUGGGCGGCAGGCCUAACACAUGCAAGUCGAACGGUAACAGAAAGAAGCUUGCUUCUUUGCUGACGAGUGGCGGACGGGUGAGUAAUGUCUGGGAAACUGCCUGAUGGAGGGGGAUAACUACUGGAAACGGUAGCUAAUACCGCAUAACGUCGCAAGACCAAAGAGGGGGACCUUCGGGCCUCUUGCCAUCGGAUGUGCCCAGAUGGGAUUAGCUUGUUGGUGGGGUAACGGCUCACCAAGGCGACGAUCCCUAGCUGGUCUGAGAGGAUGACCAGCCACACUGGAACUGAGACACGGUCCAGACUCCUACGGGAGGCAGCAGUGGGGAAUAUUGCACAAUGGGCGCAAGCCUGAUGCAGCCAUGCCGCGUGUAUGAAGAAGGCCUUCGGGUUGUAAAGUACUUUCAGCGGGGAGGAAGGGAGUAAAGUUAAUACCUUUGCUCAUUGACGUUACCCGCAGAAGAAGCACCGGCUAACUCCGUGCCAGCAGCCGCGGUAAUACGGAGGGUGCAAGCGUUAAUCGGAAUUACUGGGCGUAAAGCGCACGCAGGCGGUUUGUUAAGUCAGAUGUGAAAUCCCCGGGCUCAACCUGGGAACUGCAUCUGAUACUGGCAAGCUUGAGUCUCGUAGAGGGGGGUAGAAUUCCAGGUGUAGCGGUGAAAUGCGUAGAGAUCUGGAGGAAUACCGGUGGCGAAGGCGGCCCCCUGGACGAAGACUGACGCUCAGGUGCGAAAGCGUGGGGAGCAAACAGGAUUAGAUACCCUGGUAGUCCACGCCGUAAACGAUGUCGACUUGGAGGUUGUGCCCUUGAGGCGUGGCUUCCGGAGCUAACGCGUUAAGUCGACCGCCUGGGGAGUACGGCCGCAAGGUUAAAACUCAAAUGAAUUGACGGGGGCCCGCACAAGCGGUGGAGCAUGUGGUUUAAUUCGAUGCAACGCGAAGAACCUUACCUGGUCUUGACAUCCACAGAACUUUCCAGAGAUGGAUUGGUGCCUUCGGGAACUGUGAGACAGGUGCUGCAUGGCUGUCGUCAGCUCGUGUUGUGAAAUGUUGGGUUAAGUCCCGCAACGAGCGCAACCCUUAUCCUUUGUUGCCAGCGGUCCGGCCGGGAACUCAAAGGAGACUGCCAGUAAUAAACUGGAGGAAGGUGGGGAUGACGUCAAGUCAUCAUGGCCCUUACGACCAGGGCUACACACGUGCUACAAUGGCGCAUACAAAGAGAAGCGACCUCGCGAGAGCAAGCGGACCUCAUAAAGUGCGUCGUAGUCCGGAUUGGAGUCUGCAACUCGACUCCAUGAAGUCGGAAUCGCUAGUAAUCGUGGAUCAGAAUGCCACGGUGAAUACGUUCCCGGGCCUUGUACACACCGCCCGUCACACCAUGGGAGUGGGUUGCAAAAGAAGUAGGUAGCUUAACCUUCGGGAGGGCGCUUACCACUUUGUGAUUCAUGACUGGGGUGAAGU
rnacentral:rRNA from 1 species